rnacentral:rRNA from 1 species
AUUGAACGCUGGCGGCAGGCCUAACACAUGCAAGUCGAACGAUUGGCGGACGGGUGAGUAAUGUCUGGGAAACUGCCCGAUGGAGGGGGAUAACUACUGGAAACGGUAGCUAAUACCGCAUACCAUCGGAUGUGCCCAGAUGGGAUUAUGAAGUAGGUGGGGUAACGGCUCACCUGGGCGACGAUCCCUAGCUGGUCUGAGAGGAUGACAAGCCACACUGGAACUGAGAAACGGCCCAGACUCCUACGGGAGGCAGCAGUGGGGAAUAUUGCACAAUGGGCGCAAGCCUGAUGCAGCAAUGCCGCGUGUAUGAAGAAGGCCUUCGGGUUGUAAAGUACUUUCAGCGAGGAGGCGUUACUCGCAGAAGAAGCACCGGCUAACUCCGUGCCAGCAGCCGCGGUAAUUC